ensembl:lncRNA
CACAGUUACACACAUUCCACACUCGGCACAACACAACGAUCCAGCAUCUCCAUUCACUGACCUUUUAAAGGAGGUUUUCCGUGGGUUUGGGAAAAACAGGGAAUGUGUGCUCCGUGGGGCUUUGAGGAGACGGACGGGGCUGGAGUGGGCUUCAGCGGGAACGCCGCCGGGGGAAGGAUUAGGAUGUAUUUAAUAAACUGGGAACAGCGGCUCGGAAUCCUACGCCGCUCCGGGAGCGUCGCGAAACGGCAAAGGAGCGAACACGACAAACACAGCGACGGGAAAACCACGGACAACACAACGUCAAACAAACUGCAAAACUAUCAAAAAUAUCCCGCUUCUACGGGGAAGAAAGGAACGUUUGAUCACCAGCUGGGUUAGAACCUUCACGUCUCCGCGCUGCUUCCCGCGCCCGGCGCCCCGGUCUCCCCCUGAUGGUCGCUCCGCCCUCGCAGCGUCAUUAAUGUAUAAUUCCCAUCGUUCCGGAACGGGAGAGCGGCGGCGGCCGGAGCGCUGUCACAUUCCAUUCGCUCGCCUCCCCUCCAGCCGAGAUCUUCCCACAAAUAAGGCUUCAGGUGCCCCUGUGAGGCAUGUUCGUAUCCUGGAUUCCGGGGUCACGUUGCCGGGUGGGCCAGCAGUUUAGAAUGUAUUUAUGACACUGAUGUUGGUGUACGCACACUGAUGUUUGUUUUGCCCCUGUAACUAACACUCCGUUCACUUCAUCAAAACGACAACAAAAGACAAACAAAAAUAACAUUCUGCAUGGGUCCCCGUACGGGCUGUGCUCAAAGCAUGGAACAAAUACACUAUGUUAAGAAAUAUCCUAUUGUUGUGUUCCGUUGUGUGCUGUUGACUGUAAGCGUAGAUACAAAACAUUUUCUUGUGAGUUCCACCCCCCUAUCUAAGUCCCGAACAUGUCUCCAAUGUAAUUUGUAUAUUUGUUUUCUGACUUUUGUUGAUGUCGUCUACGUGGGUGGAUUAAAGUAAAAUUCAACUCCCACCUGAAUUAAACACAUCACCACUGCACAUGUGUGUUGAACACGGUAAACAAAAACCGUUGGCAUUCUGAAUCUAUUCCCCACUGCUCAACGUUCCAAAUAAACUGUUUCUCCAACAGGCAGUGACUGGUGAGCGUUUGAUCCGCCCUGCAUGCUAGCAAUCGGUGCUCGACCAUCGCCCUGCGGUGGCUGAUAGCGCCCAGCCAACAUGGGAAAGGUAGAAUUCUGUAGUGGUUACAUUUAGAAAUGCGAAUUAAGAUUAAAUAAAGUGGCCGGUUUCGCUUUCCUUUGAACGGUAUUUCUGAGCCAAUAUCUCUCAAAAAGAUCCACUAAUAUAAACCUUUAAUGCUCAAUCUAAAGUAGUAUUGAAAUGACCCAUUGGUCACGUUCUACUGCUUAUUGCGGCCCAGGGCAGGUUCAUAGUUUGGUGGAGCGGGCGCCUAUUUGGUUGAGCUAUUAUAUGAUCUCUGAUGAAUGAUGGAACAAAAGGACUCCCUGAUCGGACCUGCGGGAACUUUUGACAGUUGUGCUGAUGUGUGAAUAUGGAGGGUUUAUGAAUAUAGCCCGAAACGAAGCUGACCUUUAAUAUCAGCGAUAUCAUCUUUGAAACUGAGAUUGGGUGGGGGUGAUGGAGAAGGGUGGAGUUGCAGAUGGAGAGGAGAUGUGCUGACCUCAGGCCGUUCUGAGUUCUGAGAGGCGCCUUCUCUUUUUAUGUAACCGCGCUAUACUUACAAGAGUAUAAAACAGCAGUGCUCUCGUGGAUCCUCCAUUUUUAUUGGUCGUGUGCAGUAAUGAAUAAAACGGGAAGGGAGAAAAUUGAAAAUGGGCUAUAUCCCCAGGACUUUUUUUUACUGCUAAUGUUGCUCUAUGUUUUAUCUUACUCUAAAACUGCA